CCAACCUGGGAGACAGAGUGAGACUCCGUCUCGGGGAAAAAGUAAUAAUUUAGAAAAAAAAGUAAAUAAAUUAAAUCAUUCUUUUUUCUAGUUCUUUGAACUCCCCAAAGAGUUUAAAGGCCUGAAAUAGAUAUAGACACAGAUAUAUGUAAUCUUCAAUAUAUUAAUACUUAAAAUAUUUAAAUAUUUUAUAUACAAAUAAAAUUUAUAUCAAAUACCAGGAUAGUCUUACAGUGGCCAGGCUGGUCUCGAACUCCUGACCUCGUGAUCCGCCCGCCUCGGCCUCCCAAAGUGCUGGACUUAUAGGCGUGAGCCA
rnacentral:lncRNA from 1 species